rnacentral:tRNA from 6 species
GCCCUCGUAGCUCAGGGGAUAGAGCGUCGGUUUCCGGUACCGAAGGUCGCACGUUCGAUUCGUGUCGGGGGCACAA